CACGUAAAGAACCUACCUUAUAGACAGGGACAACUAUUGGAAACGAUAGCUAAUACCUGAUAAGAAAGAAACUCGCAUGAGAGAAGUUCGAAAGUCGGAGCAAUCUGACACUAUAAGAUGGCUUUGCGGUGCAUUAGCUAGUUGGUAGGGUAAAAGCCUACCAAGGCGACGAUGCAUAGCCGACCUGAGAGGGUGAUCGGCCACAUUGGGACUGAGACACGGCCCAGACUCCUACGGGAGGCAGCAGAU
rnacentral:rRNA from 1 species